GAUUAACGCUGGCGGCGUGCAUAACACAUGCAAGUCGAACGAUGAAACUUUAAUGAACCCUUCGGGGAGAAUUAAAGCGGAUUAGUGGCGAACGGGUGAGUAACGCGUGAGUAACCUGCCUUACACAAGGGGAUAGCCUUUGGAAACGAAGAAUAAUACCCUAUAAAACCAUAAAAGCACAUGCAAUUAUGGUCAAAGUGAUAGCGGUGUAAGAUGGACUUGCGUCUGAUUAGCUAGUUGGUGAGAUAAAAGCCCACCAAGGCAACGAUCAGUAGCCGGCUUGAGAGAGUGUACGGCCACAUUGGGACUGAGACACGGCCCAGACUCCUACGGGAGGCAGCAGUGGGGAAUUUUGCACAAUGGGGGAAAACCUGAUGCAGCGACGCCGCGUGAUUUAGAAGGCCUUCGGGUUGUAAAAAUCUUUUGUAUAGGAAGAAAAUGACAGUACUAUACGAAUAAGGUCCGGCUAAUUACGUG
rnacentral:rRNA from 1 species